GUGGCGGUAGCUCAAUGGCAGAGCCCCGGGUUGUGAUUCCGGUCGAUAUGGGUUCAAAUCCCAUCCACCACCCCA
rnacentral:tRNA from 1 species